CCCAGGCUAGGGGUCAAAUCGGAGCUACAGCUGCUGGCCUAUGCCACAGCAACACCAGAUCCUAGCCACAUCUGCAACCCACACCACAGUUCACAGCAAUGACAGAUCCUUAAGCCACUGGGUGAGGCCAGGUACUGAACCCACAACCUUACGGUUCCCAGUCAGAUUCAUUUCUGCUGCACCAUGAUGGGAACUCCUGAGAAAAAAAUAUGCUGGUUCAUAUCUCAGCUCUACUACUUCUAGUCACCUAGCAUCUCAGAACCUAUUAUUUUAACUAUUAAAUAUAGAGACAUGUACAGUUAGAGUCCACCUUUGGUGUUCUAUUUGAGUAAAAUAAGAUACGUAUAUUAUCAAGAACCCAGCAUACAGCGGGUUCUUCACAACUGUUGGCUGCCCCUGUUCCAUCUUCCAUUGUCCAAGUCCAUUGUAGUUUCUUUUGAUCAGCUACUAAAUUACUAUAUUAUCUUUCUUUUUAAUUCAUCACACAGUCUAUUUUCCAGUACAAAACUGAUAAUAUGCAAAUGACUUUUCUUUGUGCUUUUGCACAGGGUUAUAGAGGUUUAAAUAAAGGCAUCUUGUCAUAGCCACUGCUCUUCAAAUAAUUAACUGAUCAAGCCUCUGGCUCAGCUGGUGGCCAUGCUUCUGAGUAAUUAUUUUAUUCAUUGGCACCAUUCUAAAUAGCUUGUUACAUGCUACAAGGAGAAUCCAUCCCAAUAAAUUCAAAUGAAAUACGUUAUGAGAAGACCAACAAAUAGACAACAGCAAGCUGGUUCAAAAUGAUAAUUAAUAUAUUGUUGCCUCCCUCAGUAAGGGUUAGGCUUUUCAUGUUAAAGAUGCUAUCUAGGUUCUGCUUAGAGUCCUAAACAUCUAAUUAAUUCUUUACUCUUGCUAUAGCAAUAAUACAGAUUUCAAAGCAUUCGAUUACAUAUGGCUAAAAAUGAAGGAGCCCUGGCUUGCAAACAUCCAGCUUUUUAUUUACUGCUUUACCUUGCAGACUUGUGAUAUAAUGUAGGUGUUGGUAGAAAAAUCACAUCCAAUAAUUAUGACAGGAGAACUUGUCUUUCCAGUGAAGGCCAUUAUAUCUUUCAAGAUUAAACUGUCUCUGUAAUAAAACUCUCCCUGAAUCCUCUUCACCUCUUGCCAGGUCAGACACACAUUCUCCAUCCUUAGUUACCUCCACUCUAUCCCACUUAGAUCUCUCUCAUAGCACCUGUGAUAUUAUGGGGUUUUUUUUUAAUUUUUUAUUAUAGUUGAUUUACAAUGUUCUGUCAAUUUCUGCUGUAUAGCAAAGUAACCCAGUUAUAUAAAGAAUGUGUGUGUGUGUGUGUGUGUGUGUGUGUGUGUAUUCUUUUUUUCACAUUAUCCUCCAUCAUGUUCCAUCACAAGUGAUCAGAUAUAGUUCCUUGGACUUAUCAUCUACUACUAGACUCUGAAACCAUAGGGGGAAAAAUGUUUUAAAUUUAUAUCUUUUUUCAGAUAACUAGAAAAAUUCUGGGACAGUGAAAGUAUCUCUAUUUCUCAUAAAUCUCUAUUUUGCAUUUUCAUAUUUUCAAGGCCAUGUGCUAAUUGUUGAUGACUGCCUCGCUGUGUUAUAUUGCCCUAGAAUAAGGCUGACAGACAGACUGAAUAUAAACUAGAUACUUGGCCAAAUCUGAAUGUCAAAUAAAUAAGAAUAACUGUUUAGUAAAAGAAUGUCCCAGAUAUUGCAUCCAACUUUAACUGGGCAUCCUGUAUAAUUUGCUAAAUUUGGCAAUACUUUUUAGAAGCAGAGAAAAUAUGCAUGACUCAAGUAAAAGAACACUUUGGGAUAAACUUUAGUGAUGUAUGUAACUCAAUUUAACCAAUGGACGUUCUCUACAUUCCAUGGAAGAUUUCCUAAAUCCCUCUGUGAUGGAAGGAAAUGCUAAAUAAAGACAACCUUGCUUCACUCAGUCAGUUAAUGCUAAUGCACCACUUAGGAAGACCUAUGUCAAAUUUAGACAAAUCUGUAAUCUGACUGACAUAACAUGACAUGGUUACUGUUGUGCCAAAUUUGAGCAGAGAGAUGAGAAUUGAGAUUGCAUUUCUGUCUCUCCUUCACAGAUCUAAAUGGCAAGCUUCUAUUCUACCACCAACUUUCCUUCUCUCCUUCUAUAUUUCUUUUACUAUAUUAAUAAUACCCACAGCUGAAAUCUUUAAAAAUUUUCAACUAAGUGCCCAAGACACUUGUAAAUUGAAUUUUGUUAAGAACUACAAUUAUUAAUGGUAUUUACCUUUCCCCAAUGCAUUUGCGAAAAGGAACUCAUCACUUUAGAACUUCCAUUUUGGAGAGGAAUGCUUGUUUAAAAGGUUUUCCACUAAUAUUCCAUAGAAUGUCGUCUUGGUGUAUAACUCUUAUCCAUAAUACUUUUAGUUAUGAUUUUUGGAGCUACAAAAAGUAAUGUUUCUCCCUACAUGGUAUCACUUAAAAUAAUUCAAGGUAUUUAUUUUCUGUAACCUCCUAAACUGUACUUCUCUAUGGCUCAAAGAGCUCUCUUCAACUCUUUCUAAUAUUGCAGAAGUUAGAGACACUUUUCCAUUUGUACAUCCAUUUCAGAGUACUGACUCCAAGAGGUACAGACUCUGUCUUGGCAUUAUUUUAUCUCUGAUACCUAGCAGAGUACCUGAUAUACUGUGGAGGCUCAAGGAGUAUUAGUAACCUACAUGAAUGAGGCUUGCCUUUCUUGUCUUAGAUCCAUAAAAGUGAAAAGAAACCUAAUUCCAUGAGGUCAGUAAGUCACAUGAUCAGAUUUAAAUGUCAUUCAUUUAUUUUCUCAAUUUUUUGGUCAUAGAAACUCUCUUUCUGGUAGGGGUCUAUCUCCUGGUGAAUAUGGUAGCAAUAAGAGAGACAAGCCUUCUACCUCAAAGAGGUACUGCCUCUUAUCAUUAGUACCCUAUCAGUCUCUGAAUACAGUCGAAAUUCCUCGUUACUGUUUGUCUGCUUAAAUGCUCUUAGUCAAAAGAAACUAUAACUAUUUUUUUCAUGCUAAUUGCUCUUAAUCCAGGAUUCCACCCACCUUAUCCAACUAACUUUCUCUAAUUUGUUCAUUAGAUUUUUGUUUUGUAUUUUUUUAACCGAAGUACUUCAUGUUGCUUUUAUCCCUAAAGAAUAUAUUUUUGUGAGAAAUGUGCCUCAAAUCUUAGCCUAGAAAAUUACUUUUUGAGUUUGAAAUUUUAGCCACAAUAUUUCUACUUUUCCUUUGAAAAUAUCAUCUUUAUCCUCUGUGUUCUUCCACGGAGCUGGAAAGGUAUCAAAACCAAAGGAAAAAUAAAAUAAAAUAUAUUAUGUCCUUGCUUUCUUUUUCCCUGUUGCCCCUGUGUUUUCUCUCUUAAUCUGAAUGUUCCAUAGUCAGACAUUCCUUCUGUGGAUUUAUCUGCUCCUUAUGCUGCAUCAUCAUGUUAACCUGAAAGUUUAUGUCAGACAAAUGUGAAUUUAAAUUUAGGCUUGGUCUCUCCCUGGGCAUGUAACAUAGGUGGUUGUAUAACCUCUAUGUCUUUGUCUCUUUAUAUAUGCAAAACAGAGGUUAGUAAUACCAUUAACAGAAUGUAAUGUGAAGGUUCAAUGAGAAAUAGUAUAGUAAGAGCCUGCCAGAGUUUCUGGAGUAUAGGAGUCAUUAAACACCUGCCAGGACUUUCCCUCUUCCUAAGUGCUUUCUAUGUUACCCCUCUCCACAAUCACGUAUUUUAAGCCAUUAUCAGGGAAAAUUUCCUCAUGGUAUAAUGUGUUAUUCAAGUAGAACUUUUCCUGAGCCCCCCUCCCUAGUCCUCUCCCAUCAGAGCUGAGAUACACAUGACUCUUAGGAAACUGGAGUGAAAAGUUAAUCAAGUGCAAUUGUGUCUGGAACAGAGCCUUUCAAGAGAUUGCAGUUCAUCUUUGAUUGUUCAUGGUAUAGGAGAUUUCGAUUUGUACAGAAUUUGGUGUGAGAUAAUAGCUUUGUGAGAUACUGCGAAUUAUAAUAAUAUAUCUAUUUGGUUUUGUUUCUGGCAUAGCUCUCUGAAAACUCUUAUUUCCUAAGUGGUAAGAGGCAUAAAGUGUGUUUUGAUAUCAUAAUAACCACAUUUCUUUCAACCACAUUUGAGGUUAUGUUAAUGAAGUGACUUUUGGAAGGCACUCAAGGGUGGAGGUCAGUUGCCAGGGGAACCAACCAGCUCUGCAUCCCUUCCUACACACUUUGUUCUACAUAUGUCUUCCAUCUGGCUGUUCUUGAGUUGUAUCCUUUUAUAAUAAACUAGUAUUCUAGAAAGUAAAAUGUUUCCUAAGUUCUAUUGGCUGCUGUAGAAAAAUAGUUGAACCCCAGGGGCAGGUUGUUGGAAUCUAUGAUCUCUAGCUAGUCAGUCAGAAGCACAGGUGACAAGCUGGACUUGGAAUGGGAAGGGAGAGGCCUGAGACUUUACAC
rnacentral:lncRNA from 1 species